UGAUUUUUGGUGACCUGUGGACUUGGACUCCUUAGCUUGUUUUGGCGUUGUUUUUUCAUUUUGUUAUUUUUUUCUUUUUAUUUUGAAGGUGCCAUGUUUAAUGCCUUUGCAGCCCACUCUGCCAACAAGGAGCGCUGUAUUGGCGAUUACCUCCUCUUGGACACCAUCGGCAAGGGAUGGUUUGCCGAGGUGUGGUUGGCCCGGCAUUUGCUGACCAGGGCACAGGUGGUUGUAAAAGCCAUUAGACGGCAGGGCAUCUCUAGAUAUUUUCAAGAGGUCCAUUGUUUUAAGAAAUUAAAUCACCCAAAUAUCACAAAGUUAUUUGAGGUGAUUGCCACCAAGGACAAGUUUUUUCUCGUUAUGGAGCAUGUGAGCGGAGGGGACUUACUUGAGUACUUGGAGAACUAUGGCCAAAUGAAUGAGGGGGAAGCCCGCACCGUGUUCCGGCAGGUAGUAUCCGCGGUCCAGUACUGCCACCAGCGGGGUAUUGUCCACAGGGACCUGAAGCCAGACAACAUUCUCGUAGACAGUGAUAUGACCGUUAAAUUAGCAGACUUUGGCUUCAGUAGGGAAGUGAGCAAUGAUAAACAGAGCACCUUCUGUGGCACCAUCUGCUAUUCGGCCCCAGAGAUCUUGCAGCGUCAUACCUAUGAUGGCCGCAAAACGGAUGUAUGGAGCCUGGGGGUGGUCUUGUACAGGAUGCUGACAGGGGUGGUGCCGUUUGAGGGGGACAACUUUGUGAACGUGAAGAGGCAGAUAAUAAGUGGACAUUACCAUCUACCACACUUCAUGUCAAGGGAGGUUAAAAAACUUUUAAGAAAAUUACUCACUGUCAACCCUAGCCGAAGACCGACCCUGGAAGAUGUAAUGAAGGACCCCUGGCUCAACAAGGGCCAGGAGGAGACGCUGAGGCCAUACAGCGAGCUGCCCUGGGGUGACUUGGACCCCCAGGUAACAGAAAUGAUGCAGAGCCUCGGCUUUAAGCAGGAUGACAUCCAGGAGUCAGUAGCACAAAGAAAAUUUGACAGAGUGAUGAGCACAUACCUGAUCCUCAGAAUGAUGAAAACCAAGAUGCCAGGCCGCACCAUCAGGGUAAGGCCCUACUCCUCCCCUGACACCAGUAGCAUGUCCUCAAGCCAAGAGGUUGGUCAGCCAUUUGAUGAGAAGACCAAAGGGCCUUCUAUUCCCCCAAACUGCCUGAGGUUGAGGGUAACCACUCUCCCACCCAACCUGGAAACCAUGACCACCACUCCCCCAGAGCACAGUACAGACGCCCCCAGCGCAGACCUCCAGCUUGGCUCUGCGGGCUCCCCCUCCACCCAGAGCAGCAGCAGCACCAGCGGAGGUGGUGGAGCCCUAGAGGGAGCCGCCCAUGAAAGCUGCCUUCAAGCUAGGCAGCCUGAGUGUGGCACCCCAGCCUCUCCCUCUGGCCAGACCCAGGGUCGGCAGGGCGUGGCUAGGAGGGCCUUGCAGUUUUUCUUAAGAUUCACAUGCUGUGGGCCAUCUACCAAGAAGAAACAUCUCAAAAGAACAAAAGUCAAACCAGUGUGAUUUUUAAAGUUGUGGACGGUUAAGGCAGGGCCACAGUCAACUUAAAGGUGCGGAGCUCCAGGAAGGCCGGCCAGUGGUAUGGGCGAUGAACCAGAGGUUGGAGGCAAACAGCUGGAGGAUCCACAUCAGGAGGGUAUCCAGCAGCGCCUAGGUCUUCUUCUGAUCUUACCCACCACGAUGCCUGCGGAGCUUGUAGGACUGCCUGGAGCCCCCAGAGGUCAAGAGGAGAGGCUGCCCUCGCUGUGGGUUCAUCCCUCAGUCCCCACCUGACUGAGACCAGAGACUGGACUUUUUCCUGGGUCCCUUCCCUCCCCUGCUCUUGUGCUCCCAUGUUUUUGAGUUGUUUAUUAAACUAUUUGGUUCUCUCAAAUUUUAUAAUAAACUUGAUGUUCCAGAA